rnacentral:lncRNA from 10 species
GCAAUACUUUCACACAUCACAACCACCUCCACUUCCCCAUACCUUCCCUUCCACCUUCCACCCUGAGGAAUCAGCCAGCCUGAAGGAGUGGGGCAGAGAGCAGAAGCCUGCCCUUCCAUAACAGAUCUGCGGCUGGGAGGGAGAGGAGAAGGGACUUCUCCUAGAAUGGAAAUGGUGUGCUGAUUCAUACCUUGGACUAGACAUUUAGAAAUUUGAGACUUCUUGUGACUUAAACUGCCUGUUCUACCAGACAGCCUGGAACUCCUGGGCUCAAGUGAUCCUUGGGCCUCCCAAAGUACUGGGAUUACAGACAUGAGUCACACCAUUUUUAAUUUCAGUUUCCUUAUAAGCAAAACAGAAAGAAACAUGGUACCUACCUCACAAUAGUGGCAGGAAGAUUGAAUAAGACAAACCAAGCUCCUGGCAAGGUACCUAGUAUCUACUAAGUGUUCUAAAAGUGUAGCUAUUAUUAUUUCCAUUAUGCAUGACUUGAUCUUUUCUUAAUCUAAUGUAUCAAUCACUUAGCCGAUCAAAGGAAAUAUGGCCUGAAAUUUUCUGGAGAGUAACAGUUACUAAAUCCUUUUUAUUCUUUAUUAUUCAUUUGUUUCUCAAAUUGUAGACUUAUUAAUUUUUAAAUGUAAAAAGUCACCCACUAAAGGCCCCCAAGUUGAACAAUUCUAUAAGCUAUGACUGAAAUUACUUUAAGAGAUGAUACCCUAGAAAAGAACACAAUGUUUGAAAAUUUGUCAUUAACAUCUUAUUAAAGCUGUUCUGUAUGUUUGAGUUUCAGCCUUCCUAAAAUCCGUCCUUGGAAGGACAUCCGGACUUGGAGCAGAAACAGAAAGUGUGGUCCUUGGCCUCUGAGGAGCUUAUAAUUUAAUAGAGCAACUGGCUCUCCACAGCAUCACAUAAAUAAACAUAACAGAAGCACAUAAGCAAACAUUUAUACAUAGCUGAGCACAGCUGCAUAGGUUUACACAGGUGCUAAAUAGCAUAUCAGGGAAAGAAAAAUUAAGAAAGUGAAGAUUAUUACAUGCUUGACAACUGGAAUAUAGAUCAAUGUAAGUUUUGAAAGCCUUCAUGGUACUAAAUACAGUUGACCACUGAACAACACGGGUUUGAACUAUGAGAGUUCACUUCUACUGGGAUUUUUCCCAACCAAACACUAACAAAAGUACAGUAUUAGCCAAGAAGAGGGAUGGGGAAUGUAUCCUGGAACCAAUCCCCCAUGUAUACAGAAGGGUGACUGUAGUAUGUUGAGGCUAAGGCAGUUCAAAGAUUAGCAAAGCAAAAAGAAAUUCCAAAUUAUGGAAAGAACGGUAAUAAUGGAUUAAAAAUAAGUGAGGUUGAACUAUUGAUGACAAUUAUUUAUAACUAACAUAUUAUAACUAACAUUUGAGCCCUUCCAAUACCAAGAAUUCAGCUUUACAUAAAUUAUCUCAUUUAAGUCUCACAACAACCCAAUAAGAUUGUGUCAUUGUUUAAUUUUACAGAUGAGGAAACGGAGGCUCAGGGAAAUUAAAUGGCUUGACCAAAAUUCAUGUGUAAGUGUCAGCAAGUGCCUAUACUGGGAUUUGAACCUAAGUCUGUCUGACUCCAAAUCGGCAGUCCUAAGCUAUUGCUCCACUUCCCUGCUUUGUACACCAGAAAGGUAAGAGACACAAAUGGGGCUAUUUGAAAAACAAACAGCAGGAUGAACAACUAGUUGAUAUGCCCCUUCAAGGCCCAAAUGAAGAGCAUGAUUGGACCAGACUGUGUGGAAGAGGACAAAGAGGUAGGAGCAAGAAAGAGGAGCCUCUGGAUGAGCAGAAGCCAGUAAAGGGACACCAAUGGCACAUAUCCAUCUUCCAACUAAAGCAUUACAGGCUAACUCUUUUUUUCCAUCAUUGAGCAAGUUGCUUUGACCCACACACUCCCUAAAAACACUGCAGCAGCAUCAUACCACACAGUGGAAGAAAUCUCAUCCCAAAUAUGCACAUAGAUAACCAGAGAGACUACUGGUUAUCCACUUGGUGACCUGGCCAACUGGCAACUGAACUGGAAAAACAUCUGCUGACCUAAAAACUACUCUACCAGGCAACUUUCUCUCAAUGAGUUCCCUGUAAAACAUUCUCUGUUAACCUACUCAUUAGUAUAAGAGUGAGUCUUUGGGAAAAGAUGUACCUGGACUCAAGUCCAGGCUCUAACACCUACUGACUCUGUGACCUUGAACAAGAUUCGUAUGUGUGCUAGGCAUCAUUUGUAAUGCAUGCAUAAUAAUUCUAUCCUAGGAUUACAGGGAGGAUUAACUGAGAUGAUACAUGAGAAACAGUCCAGUGCUUGGGCUCUAAUAAGUGCUCAAACAGAUUAGCUGUUGUUACUUAAAAAUUAUGGCAAGUAAAGCCCUUUAUAAGCUCUUCAAAGCAGUCAAAGAUAUCCAUUUUUACUUUACUAGUGAAAUCAGCAAUGUGAUUCUUAUAUUAGAGAUAUAAAAAUCUGGCAUUUAGGGCAUUUGCAUUAGACAAGUAUAUUUUUGCUUGGAGUAGCACUAUGUAUUCAUGUGAGAUAAAGAACUAUCUAGAUUGCCAUAUAUUGGAACUCCAGUAACCAAAUCCUAUAGCUGCUGUGGUCUAGGGUGGCUGGCUACCCUUGCUAAUUUAAACAUUUUCUCUCAGGCUAUUGGUUUCCUUCUGGCUUCCUGUGAUGCUAUCUCAGACACAAUUGCAACCAGGUUUGCGGUGCGGUUUAAUGACACAUUUCAUGAGGUUUUGUUUUGGUGUUGCUCUGUCAAAAUGAUGUGGGGGAUAAGGGAGUGCAAUCUAUUGCAGCUGUUUGUUAUCACUCAGAUAAGCCUGAGAAGCUUCCCAAUUAACCUUAGUGUGUCAUAAAGCCAAUCAGUACAUGAAAACAAGAAUUUCUCAUUUACUGAAAUGAUAUUUGCCUUGUAAUUGCUGUCUGGGAAUGUUGAACCAAGUAGAAAACAUUAAGGAAACUGCACUCCUCCCCACAAAUUUAAGCUUGGUGAUUGUUAAAAAUAAAAAUAAAAAAGACCAAGAAUACUGUAGUCCCAGCUACUUAGGAGGCUGAGACAGGAGAAUUGUUUGAACCCGGGAGGUGGAGGUUGCAGUGAGCCGAGAUCAUGCCACUGCACACCAGCCUGGGCGACAGAGCAAGACUCCAUCUCAAAAAAAAAAGACCAAGAAUAUUAUUUGGUAGUCUAGCUGUUUUGUCCUGGUUUCAAGGCACCACAUGUCUUUUGAUGUAAAAUAAUAUACUAAAACAUGCUUACAGCUUAAAACCUGAAAUAAAUUUGUGGAGUAUAUUAAUGUUUUCAUCAAUCCUGGUAAUGAGGUAUAAGAAAUUAAUUUGGAAAAUGUAUUUUCCUUACAUAAAUUUUGGUCUUUUCAGAGAAAGAAAACAAAGUAAAAGAAAUGCAGCCUUUAUACGAAUAAGGGAUGUAUCACACAGCACCAUAAAAAUUAAUAAGGCAAUUGUCCAAUCACUAGAUGCCAUUUUUUGAGGUCUUAUUGUGUACCUAUCAGUGUACAUAGUCUGGAUGGACAAUAUAAGAUUAAGGGUAAGAGGACUAACAUCAUUCCUUUUGUGUCUAGUAGGCCCUCAAAUAUUUAUUGAGAUGAACUGAGUUUAACUGAAUUGAGCUAAAUUUACUUGAAUGAGCACAAUGAGACGUUGCCACUAUACUAAAAUCUACAGUCUAGCCAUGGAAUUAAAGUAUGUAUAUAUGCGUGACAUUUUUUAAAAUACAGCCAGUAAAUAAAAACAUGCAACUAUCAUUUUUUUAUUUUAAAAUAACUGUAGACACAUAGGAAGUCAGAAAAAGAGUUCACAGAGUCCAGUGAACUCUUACCCAAGCUUCCAAGCUACCAUUUUCCAUUACUGUAGUACAAUAUCAAAACCAGGAAGUUGACAUUUGCACAAUAAUGCUAACUAGACUACAGGCUUCAUUCAGUUUUCAGCAGUUUUUACCUGCCACUCAGUUGGGGAGAGGGGGCAUUAUGUGUGGGGGUAUGAACAAGUAAGUGUGAGUAAGUAUAGUCUUUUGCAAAAUUGAAUCCCCUGUAUGGAUUCCUGUAACCACCAUCACAAUCAGGAUACAGAAUGGUUCUAUUGCCAUAAAGCAAUGAGCAGGGCCUACCCCUUUGUACUCACACCACCUUCUUCACUGUCUCCUGGUAACCACUAAUCUGUUCUCUAUUUCUAUCAUUUUGUCAUUUCAAGAAUGUUAUAUAAAUAGAAUCAUAUAGUAUGCAAACUUUUGAGAUUGGUUUUUUCACUAAGCAUAAUGCCCAUGAAAUCCCUCCAAGUUGUUGCAUGUGCCAAUCAUUUGUUCAUCUUAUUGCUGAAGAGUAUUCCAUGAUAUAGACACACCAGUUUGUUUAACCAUUUACCCAUUAAAGGACAUUUGUGUUAUUUCCAAUUUUUGGUUAUUACAGUUUAGCUGCUAUGAGCAUUCAUGUACUAUUUUUUUGCCAACCUACAUUUUCAUUUCUCCGGGAUAAAUGCCAGGAGUGCAAAUGCUGGGUGUCAGGCUGAACACCUAUUAACCUCAAUAGAGAUGGCACCAGGUUCAAGAGGCUGAAGAAGAGACUCAGACAGCAAAUGAGACAUGGGGUUUUAUUUAGGGCUUAUAUUUAGGGGAGAGAGUCCCGUGGCAGCAGGCUAGACAGGAGAACUACACAGCCCAGUGGAGGUGGGCUGGGCAAGAAAACUGCAACAGCUUGCAAAAAGCAUCCAGUUUAUUACAGCAUUUUCACUUAGCACCCUUUCUCUAAAACUUCCACCUGGCAACCUUCAUUCAACCCAAAACCUGGAGCUUCAAUAUCCUGUGUGGCUGGUGUUCCAUGGGAUGAGCCGGAGACCCAGACGUUCCACAUAGAAAAAGAAUUAAUCUUCAGGUUGUCUGCUCCCAGCUUCCCUAGCUAGGAACAUACAUUCAGGUGUCUCUGCCACACAGGGUCAUUAUCAGAGUAUGCCUAAGUUAUUGUGAUCAGAUGCAUUUACCCUACUCUGGGUCACAUAAUAGUUGCAUGGUUAGCUUUUAAGAAAUUGCCAUUCAUUCCCACCAUACGUACGCCAUACAUAUCGGAAAACUAGUUUUUCCACAUUCUCUCCAGCAUUUAAUGUUAUCACCAUUGUUUAUUUUAGCCAUUCUGGUAGGUAUGCAGUAAUAUCGCAUUGUGGUUUUUAACUGCUUUUUGCCAAUACACAAUACUUAAAAGAUGUCAGAGGAGAGUUGAUUGAUUGCCAAAUUGUAUGGAUGAAUUUUCUCCUCUCUUCUAGUAGUUCUCAAUCUUGGUGUUCUAUUAGAAUCACCUGAGAAGCUCUAACACCAUUCCAGAGCCCAGGCCACACCUCAGACCAAUUAAAUACAAACCUCUUGAGGUGGACCCAGGCAUCAUUACUUACUUGUUAAAGUUCUUCAGGUAAUUCCAGCAUGCAGCCAAGGUUGAAGAUCAAUGCUGAAUCUAAUUUCUACACAGAUACCAGAAAUGUGACCAUCCUUGAAAUCCUUUGCUGGCUCCCCAUCAUCUGUACUGCAGAUCUAACCCAGGCUCAUUGGCAGGCUCUUCCCCGCUUUCUGUCUCACAUAUUAUGUUCUGUAGUCAUGAAUUAUUUGAGGCUUGCCACAUAUACCCCUAUAUGUCAUGAAAAAUCCUUGCAGUUAGAACCUGAGAAUACACAUUUUUAUCAAAGUACCCCAAGUGAUUGUGAAGCACAAUAACAUUUGAAAGCAACUCUACCUCCACUAAUUGGAAAGUGAUUUACCCAUUUGUUCAUUCCUCUAUUCCUCCUUUCUUCAUGUAUCCAUCCAUCCAACAAAUAUCUGUUGAGUACUUAAUGUGUGCCAAGUGGAUAGCUAUGGUGCAGUGGUGGAAGGUCCUGGUAGACAAGAAAAAAUGUGACAAGGUGGGUAGCGGGUAAGGAAAGGGGUGGGGUCCAGGGAGCUCACAGGAGCAACACACCACCCAGCUGGAAGCUCAAGACCUAAAAGACGAGUAGGAAUUAGCCAGGCAAAGAGAAGCAGGGGAAAAUAUAGUUUUCCUAAAACAAAAAACAGCAUGUUUAAAGGUUAACAACAAAAUGACAUAGCUUAUUCAGAAAAU